rnacentral:rRNA from 1 species
CGUAAUAAGGUGAUGGCGACCGGCGCACGGGUGAGUACACGUAUCCAACCUGCCGAUAACUCGGGGAUAGCCUUUCGAAAGAAAGAUUAAUACCCGAUGGUAUAAUAAAGCCGCAUGGUUUAAUUAUUAAAGAAUUUCGGUUAUCGAUGGGGAUGCGUUCCAUUAGAUAGUAGGCGGGGUAACGGCCCACCUAGUCUUCGAUGGAUAGGGGUUCUGAGAGGAAGGUCCCCCACAUUGGAACUGAGACACGGUCCAA